AGAGUUUGAUCCUGGCUCAGGACGAACGCUGGCGGCGUGCUUAACACAUGCAAGUCGAGCGGAGACUUUAGUCGGAAGUUUUCGGAUGGAAGAUUAAAGUUUUAGCGGCGGACGGGUGAGUAACGCGUGAGCAACCUUUCCUUCACUGGGGAAUAACACAGGGAAACUUGUACUAAUACCGCAUGGGACCACGGCCUGGCAUCGGGCAGAGGUGAAAGAUUUAUUGGUGAAGGGUGGGCUCGCGUCCGAUUAGGUAGUUGGUGAGGUAACGGCCCACCAAGCCGACGAUCGGUAGCCGACCUGAGAGGGUGAUCGGCCACAUUGGGACUGAGACACGGCCCAAACUCCUACGGGAGGCAGCAGUGGGGAAUAUUGGGCAAUGGGGGAAACCCUGACCCAGCAACGCCGCGUGGAGGAAGAAGGUUUUCGGAUCGUAAACUCCUGUCCUUAGGGAAGAGUAGAAGACGGUACCUAAGGAGGAAGCCCCGGCUAACUACGUGCCAGCAGCCGCGGUAAUACGUAGGGGGCAAGCGUUGUCCGGAAUGAUUGGGCGUAAAGGGCGCGUAGGCGGCCCGGUAAGUCUGGAGUGAAAGUCCUGCUUUUAAGGUGGGAAUUGCUUUGGAUACUGUCGGGCUUGAGUGCAGGAGAGGUAAGUGGAAUUCCCAGUGUAGCGGUGAAAUGCGUAGAGAUUGGGAGGAACACCAGUGGCGAAGGCGACUUACUGGACUGUAACUGACGCUGAGGCGCGAAAGUGUGGGGAGCAAACAGGAUUAGAUACCCUGGUAGUCCACACUGUAAACGAUGAAUGCUAGGUGUAGGGGGUAUCGACCCCUUCUGUGCCGGAGUUAACACAAUAAGCAUUCCGCCUGGGGAGUACGGCCGCAAGGUUGAAACUCAAAGGAAUUGACGGGGGCCCGCACAAGCAGCGGAGCAUGUGGUUUAAUUCGACGCAACGCGAAGAACCUUACCAGGUCUUGACAUCCAAUAAAACUUGCAGAGAUGCAAGGUGAGCUUGCUCGUAUUGAGACAGGUGGUGCAUGGUUGUCGUCAGCUCGUGUCGUGAGAUGUUGGGUUAAGUCCCGCAACGAGCGCAACCCUUACUGAUAGUUACUAACGCGUAAAGGUGAGGACUCUAUCAGGACUGCCGGGGACAACUCGGAGGAAGGUGGGGACGACGUCAAAUCAUCAUGCCCCUUAUGACCUGGGCUACACACGUGCUACAAUGGUCGUUACAGAGAGAGGCGAGACCGCAAGGUUAAGCGGAUCUCAAAAAAGCGAUCCCAGUUCGGAUUGUGGGCUGCAACCCGCCCACAUGAAGUCGGAGUUGCUAGUAAUCGCGGAUCAGCAUGCCGCGGUGAAUACGUUCCCGGGCCUUGUACACACCGCCCGUCACACCAUGGGAGUUGGGAGUGCCCAAAGCCGGCGAGGUAACCGCAAGGAGCCAGCCGUUUAAGGCAAGACCAAUGACUGGGGUGAAGUCGUAACAAGGUAACCG
rnacentral:rRNA from 1 species